CAUGCCUCAAACACAAUCAACAAUUGGUUAGUAAACAACACAGCAGAAGCAACAAACAAACAAGCAAGCAAGCAAGCAAACAAUCAAUUACUAAACAAACAAAUGGUCUCACCACUGAGGCCUAACUAACAAAAAGAAAGCUAGACUCGAUCCUAGACUCGAUCUACACAAACAAAAAUUCGGAUGACACACAUCCUGGGAUCCCAACACCUCGGAGCCCUAACACAUCUUCAUAC
rnacentral:lncRNA from 1 species